rnacentral:ncRNA from 1 species
AAGAAAGUAAAUAAGGGCGUAUGGCGGAUGCCUAGGCUCAUGGAGGCGAUGAAGGACGUGAUAAGCUGCGUUAAGCCUUGGGUAGGUGCAAAUAACCUUUGAUCCAAGGAUUUCCGAAUGGGACAACCCAACUAUCAUCAGAUAGUUAUUACUGUAAUCAGUAAGGCAAACGGAGGGAACUGAAACAUCUUAGUACCUCCAGGAGAAGAAAAUAAUUAAAUGAUUCCCUUAGUAGUGGCGAGCGAACGGGGAGAAGCCCAAACCACGGUUGUAGCAAUGCAAUCGUGGGGUAGUAGGACCAUAAUAUUGUACUUUGAUUGUGAAUAGAAUGAACUGGAACGUUCAGCCAUAGCGGGUGAAAGCCCCUUAUAUGAAGCAAGAGAAGACAUAGUGUCAUCCUGAGUAACGCGGAGCACGAGAAAUUCUGCGCGAAUCAGCCGGGCCCAUCCGGUAAGGCUAAAUACUCCCAUGAGACCGAUAGUGAACCAGUACCGUGAGGGAAAGGUGAAAAGAACCUCGAUGAGAGGAGUGCAAUAGAUCCUGAAACCAUACGCCUACAAGCGGUCGGAGCUGCUUUAUGCAGUGACGGCGUGCCUUUUGCAUAAUGAACCUACGAGUUACCGUCACCGGCAAGGUUAAGGAUAUUGAUAUCCGUCAACCGUAGUGAAAGCGAGCCUGAA